UUUCCGCAGGUGAACCUGCGGAAGGAUCAUUAUUGGAUUUUGAAACUCCAGGCUGCUGCUGGCUCUCCUCGGAGGGCAUGUGCACGCUUGUUGUCCAUUAUUUCUCCCACUGUGCACAAAUUGUAGACCUUUCAGUAGGCCUAUGUUGUUUUUCACAAUCUCUGAAUGUAAUAGAAUGGUUUUGAAUCUUGGGAAAUACAAUACAACUUUCAGCAACGGAUCUCUUGGCUCUC
rnacentral:misc_RNA from 1 species